rnacentral:rRNA from 1 species
CUACGGGACGCUCCAGUGAGGAAUAUUGCACAAUGGGGGGAACCCUGAUGCAGCAACGCCGCGUGGAGGAUGACGCAUUUCGGUGUGUAAACUCCUUUUAUAUGUCAAGAAAAUGACGGUAGCAUAUGAAUAAGCACCGGCUAACUCCGUGCCAGCAGCCGCGGUAAUACGGAGGGUGCAAGCGUUACUCGGAAUCACUGGGCGUAAAGGACGCGUAGGCGGGUUGGAAGGUCAGGUGUGAAAUCCUACAGCUUAACUGGAGAACUGCACUUGAAACUGCUAAUCUAGAGUAUGGGAGGGGGAGAUGGAAUUAGUGGUGUAGGGGUAAAAUCCGUAGAUAUCACUAGGAAUACCUAAAGCGAAGGCGAUCUCCUGGAACAUUACUGACGCUAAGGCGUGAAAGCGUGGGGAGCAAACAGGAUUAGAUACCCCCGUAGUC